rnacentral:rRNA from 1 species
UACGAAGGGGGCUAGCGUUGCUCGGAAUCACUGGGCGUAAAGCGCACGUAGGCGGAUCUUUAAGUCAGGGGUGAAAUCCUGGAGCUCAACUCCAGAACUGCCUUUGAUACUGGGGAUCUCGAGUCCGGGAGAGGUGAGUGGAACUCCGAGUGUAGAGGUGAAAUUCGUAGAUAUUCGGAAGAACACCAGUGGCGAGGGCGGCUCACUGGCCCGGUACUGACGCUGAGGUGCGAAAGCGUGGGGAGCAAACAGG